GAUGAACGCUGGCGGCGUGCCUAAUACAUGCAAGUCGAGCGAAUGGAUUAAGAGCUUGCUCUUAUUAAGUUAGCGGCGGACGGGUGAGUAACACGUGGGUAACCUGCCCAUAAGACUGGGAUAACUCCGGGAAACCGGGGCUAAUACCGGAUAACAUUUUGAACCGCAUGGUUCGAAAUUGAAAGGCGGCUUCGGCUGUCACUUAUGGAUGGACCCGCGUCGCAUUAGCUAGUUGGUGAGGUAACGGCUCACCAAGGCAACGAUGCGUAGCCGUCCUGAGAAGGUGAUCGGCCACACUGGGACUGAGAAGCGGCCCAGAGUCCUACGGUAGGUAGCAGUAGGGAAUCGGCCGCAAUGGACGAGAGUCUGACGGAGCAAAGCCGCGUGAGUGAUGCAGGCUUUCGGGUCGUAAAACUCUGUUGUUAGGGAAGAACAAGUGCUAGUUGAAUAAGCUGGCACCUUGACGGUACAUAACCAGAAAGCCACGGCUAACUCCGUGCCAGCCGCCGCAGUAA
rnacentral:rRNA from 1 species